rnacentral:rRNA from 1 species
UUGGCCCAUAUUCCUACGGGAAGCAGCAGUGAGGAAUUUUUCACAAUGGACGAAAGUCUGAUGGAGCAAUACCACGUGAACGAUGAAGGUCUUCUGAUUGUAAAGUUCUUUUAUUUAGGAAAAAAAGCGUGCUGGGAAAUGAGCGCGCCUUGAUGGUACUAAUUGAAUAAGUGACAGCUAACUAUGUGCCAGCAGCUGCGGUAAAACAUAGGUCACGAGCAUUAUCCGGAUUUAUUGGGCGUAAAGGAAGCGUAGGCGGGGAGGUUGAUCCAUUGUUAAAAGCAUUUGCUUAACAAAUGUGUGCAUUGGAGAUCGCCUCCCUAGAGUUAAUCAGGGGGUACUGGAAUUCAAUGUGUAGCGGUGGAAUGCGUAGAUAUAUCGAGGAACACCAGAGGCUAAGGCGAGUGCCUAGGAUAUAACUGACGCUGAGGCUUGAAAGCGUGGGGAGCAAAUGGGAUUAGAUACCCCAGUAGUCCACGCCGUAAACGAUGAGCAUUGGGCAUUUGACAUCUGGUCGAGUGCUGUAGCUAACGCGUUAAAUGCUCCGCCUGGGUAGUAUAUAUGCAAAUAUGAAACUCAAAGAAAUUGACGGGGACCUGAACAAGUGGUGGAGCAUGUUGCUUAAUUCGAUAAUACACGAAAAACCUUACCAAGGCUUGUAAUCUAUUGCGAAGCUAUAGAAAUAUAGUGGAGGUUAUCAGUAAGACAGGUGGUGCAUGGCUGUCGUCAGCUCGUGUCUUGAGAUGUUUGGUUAAGUCCCGUAACGAGCGCAACCCUACUCUCUAGUUACUUAGUUCUAGAGUGACUGAAUCGUAAGAUAUAGGAAGGAUGGGGCCAGGUCAAGUCAUCAUGCCCCUUAUGCCUUGGGCUGCAAACGUGCUACAAUGGUAGGUACAAUGUGUUGCAAACUAGCGAUAGUGAGCCAAUCACCUAAAGCCUAUCUCAGUCCGGAUAAAAGGCUGCAAUUCGCCUAUUUGAAGUUGGAAUCACUAGUAAUCCCGUAA